rnacentral:rRNA from 1 species
AUGGACUCAUCGCCGACGGCACCCUCUGACAUUCGCAAGGUGCAUCGUCCACGUCUGCAUCUCCGUAUAGUGCAUUUUUUUGCGCCUUUGGCUUUGUGCGGUUUCAUCAUCCACGACGACCACACCAUCGACCACGACUACCUCGACCACGGCUACAUCAUGAUCGACUACAUCGACAUCGACACACACGACCACGUCUACAGCAACACAUCGUCGACAACUCCAGUCAACAGCGUCCGCGUCGUCACCAGCAUCCACGCUACUCCCGCUGUGACUGCGGGAGGGAAGAGAGAGGAGAGACAAGGAAGGCACCAGAAGGGGACGCAGUCACCGCCCUAG